GUUUUGAGUGAGUGUAGCGUUCCCGCAACUUAUCGAAGUGGGAUUUUUAACAAUUAAAAUGUUGCGUUUGACCUUACACAAAAUUAUCUUAUGAAGACUUGGAAUACUUUUCCAUAGGAGCAGCAGAUUAAAUGCAACGAAACAAAUGCGUAUCCUAAAAUACUGAUGUCAAGGGGAACAGAUUGAUUGCUUUGCAGAAAUGGCUGUGGCGGGCAUCUGUUUGGACUCUCAUUCUGAUGGCACCCAUUCACUGCAGAGGAUCCAUUGGUGAGCAAGUGAUGGAAUGCUACAUUUCUCCAAAUCUGAUGAAGAAACAAACUAUUCUACCAAAUAUAAAUGUGAAUAUUCAAAUUCAUGUAGAUAUUUAAAACUUUUUUCUUUACUGAAAUUGUUGAUAAUAUAAUUUGUAAGAAAAAAAAA
ensembl:lncRNA